UACGAAGGGUGCAAGCGUUGCUCGGAAUUAUUGGGCGUAAAGGGAAGGUAGGUGGUUACGUAUGUCUGGAGUGAAAUCCCUAAGCUUAACUUAGGACGUGCUUUGGAAACGGCGUAACUAGAGUACUGGAGAGGUUCGUAGAAUUCCCGGUGUAGCGGUGAAAUGCGUAGAGAUCCGGAGGAACACCAAAGGCGAAGGCAGUGUCCUGGGGAGUACCUGACGCUCAGGUGCGAAAGCCAGGGGAGCGAACGGG
rnacentral:rRNA from 1 species